UCCCUGAAGUCGAUGGUCCCGUCGCCGUUGGUGUCGAAGGUGCGGAACACGUGUUCGGCGAACUUUGAUGCGUCGCCGUAAGGGAAAAAAUUGGCGUAGAUUUUUUUGAACUCCUCCACAGUCAAAUGGCCCGUUGGGCAAUCUUUUAGGAAGCCCUUGUACCACUCCUGCAGCUCGUGGUCCGUGAACUCGGUGUUCUCGCGCAGGUCCUGCAGCACUUCAGGGCGCAGCUUGCUGUUCUGCUUCCCCAUCCUUGCCCAGAGCCUGGCUCAGAUGCACCUAUCUUGGAACCUCUUCAGGAAAAGUCCACAGGGCUCAAUUGCCCGGCUGCGGAGCGGUCCCGCGGCGGCCUCCCGGCAGCUACAACUCCGCGGCGGAGCCCGGGCGAGCCGCACGCCUGCGGAGCGGCGGCGAGCGGGGAG
rnacentral:lncRNA from 1 species